rnacentral:rRNA from 1 species
UCGCCCAAGAGAUCGGGAUAACACCUGGAAACAAGAUGCUAAUACCGGAUAACAACAGAUGAUGCCUAUCAACUGUUUAAAAGAUGGUUCUGCUAUCACUCUUGGAUGGACCUGCGGUGCAUUAGCUAGUUGGUAGGGUAACGGCCUACCAAGGCGAUGAUGCAUAGCCGAGUUGAGAGACUGAUCGGCCACAUUGGGACUGAGACACGGCCCAAACUCCUACGGGAGGCAGCAGCU